rnacentral:lncRNA from 1 species
GGCAGUAUUGCUGAUCAAUGAUGAUCGGAUUUUCGACGCUGCUCAUGAUGAUAUCGUCAAAUGUGUAGUUCUUGCAGAUCAGAGGGAAAGAUUCGGACCAAGUUUUGAUUCGAACUCCGUUCAUUGUGAGAUGGAACUUGCAGGUUUUCACUAGAAUGUCGGUGACAUCCUUAUCGUCCUUGUACUUUCCGAGACUCCCCACGCUGAUACCAUGUCCUGGUCCGCACUUGACACCGGUCACUGUGAUGCGGCUGUUGGUAGGACCAAUAGAGACGCAAUCAUCUCCGGUUUUGAUUGCGGUAUCGGUGAUGGUGACUCCGUCUGAAAGUCCGAUGUGGACUCCGUCGGUGUUCGGACUUGUUUCCGGUGCAGUGAUGGUCAGCUUUGUGAGCUUCAGAUUUACGCACUUGUAGACCAUUAUGUGAAACAUUCUGCUGUCAAUCGACGAGAUGCCUUCAACGGUGGAAUCAUUGAUGAAGCUGAAUUGAAUGUUCGUCGGAAAUACUUUUCCGUUACGCUUGUUUUUUGGCCAUGUAUCCGCACCCAUACCGUUGAAUGAACCAUUUCCGGUGAUCAACAUGCCGGCCAAUCUCUCAAACAUAAUCCAAUUGUUGGGCUUCUCCGGCAUUGUUUUCAAGACGGCUGGAGCAAUGAUUCUUCCAUCUAUCUGGAUCACCAUUUUCGCCGUGCAUGGUCCGGAGAAGGCCACUGGUCCGACCAAGUAUGCUCCUUUCGGAACCACGAACUUCGCUGUCGGUCCAGUGUAGUUACAUGCCGCCGUCCAUGUAUCUGCAAAUGCCGCGGUGCUGUCAACUUUGCCGUUGGAUACCGCCUUGAAGUCGGAGACGCUGAAGGUUCCGUUGACGGCGACGACGGCGACGGUGGUGGAGAUGAAAAAGAAUAAAAUUGAAGAGGAGAUGAAGAGGAUUGAAGCUACGAAAUUCAUUUUUUAUUUUGGUGGUUUGAAUUUAUUUUUAUUGGGUGAUUGUUGUUUGUGUUGUGUUGUUGUUUGUGUUAUUGUGGGAUUGGUUUGAUUUAUAAUGUUUUUUUCCAUUUAUUCAUACUGUUUUUUCGAUGAGUCAAGUUAUUCUCGUUCAUAGAUUUUGAAUUUUUGUUUCACGCUAUUUAUAAAAUUAACUAAUUUUCCAACUGUUUUACAUACUAUUUCAUUUUCAACCGAACAAAUUAAACCUCAAUGCUAUUAACAUCUUCCUAUUAUUUAGGGUUUCAACUAUAUUAGAUUUAUAACUGUUUACAACUAUUAAAAUAUAUACAUUAGGUCUAAGAAUUAGCACAACACGACCAUUAAUUUUUUACACGAAAAAAAAUUGUUACGAUUACAUAUACAAACACACAAUUAUUUUAUUGAUAAUAAUUAUUUUAUUAUUUUAAUAAUAAUAAUUAUCUAUGGUAUAUUUUCUUAUUUUAUCCUUAUUAUAUAGUUAUUAUUUUACCCUUAUUAUUUUAUAAGUGUAAUAUUUUAUUUAGAACUUAAGAGGUUGUAUAUAAAAAUAUUAUUAUAUAAACGAUAAAUAGAGGUGAGAUUCCCUCUCCUCAAGGCUGUCAACGGGUCUGGGUUUGGGACCAAUUUCGGACCCGUCAAAGGAUUUAGACCCGACUGGACCCGGACCUGGCUAUUUUAAAUGUUAGAAAGAAAAAAAUAUUAAUAUUUUAAUAAAUUAAAGAUUUAAAUAUAAAUAUUCUAACUUAAGAGUUUAAUAUAAAUACACCAAUAUUUGUUUAUUAUGUUUAUUUAUUUUACUACAAUUUAUUGACUAUUUUUAUAUUUUUAAUUAUUUAUUAUUUUUAGGUUUAAAAAAUUUAUUUAUUUGGACCCGGCCCAGGCCUAGAUUUUUUAUGGGUCUGGGCCGGGCCCAGACAAUUGAGUACUGGACCCGGACCCGGCCCAGAUCCGGGCCAAGUUCAUGGGUAUGGGGUCAGUUUAACCGUCCCAGACCCAGUCCAUUUACAACAUUUCCCGUACCCGGUGACUGGCCCGUACCCGGACGGAGGGGAUGAUUUUCCUAUCAAAGAAGAAAAUUCCCUGUCCCUGUCCCCUGUCGAAAUCCCCAGUUAUUUCCGGGUACGGGGAUGGGGAUUGAAAUCCCCGCCUCGGCCCAUCCCCGUACCCAGAGAAAAUUGAAUAUAGUGAUAUAGACCUUAUAAAAAAAUUAUAUUGUAUAAUUUAUAUAAAUAACCUUAUACAAUAUAUUAAAUAGAUAAAUUUAUAUUUAAAAUUGUAAAAUUAAAUCUAUAUCAUAAAUUCCUAAUUAAAAACAUAAAUUUUUUAAAGUUAAACCUAAUUCUUAUUUUUGUAACCUUGUUCAGAUGUUCCACCGUCGAGCGUCGAUAUCUUCUUCCGUCGCUGUCCUAAGAUAAGCUUCGCAUGUCUAAAUUUUUUUAAAUGAAAUAGGGUUGAGAGAACUUCCACCGGUGUACGCUUGUUCCACCGCUUGUUUAAAUAAUUUCCACCGUUUAUGGAUUUUCUAAAUUAUUGUUCCACUUCUAAAUUACAUUAGUAAAUAGUAACAUAGCAAGUAAGUUAGUAACAUUAGUAUUUUUAAUAAAUUACUGUUUAAAAUAAUAAUAAAAAUAAUAAUAAUAUUUUGACCGCGGAUCCCGUCCCCACUCAAUUAUAUUAUGUUUUCGUAAUAUCGGGUCAUAUAAUUUGUCUGUCAAUUUACGUUUCGUGUAAUCGUAUCGUGUCGUGUUUUUAGAAAUAAACACUAAACCGAUACUAUUAUCAAUCGUGUCAAAAUUUCGACAUUAACUCGACAUUAUUAUGAACGUGUCUUGUUAAAAUCGUAUUGUGUGUAUUUUAUACAUUACAUUUCAUUUUAUUACUCUAUUAGUUUAUUUAGUCCGACCCACAUUUUCAAAGGCCCAUUAGUUAGAUCACUAGUAUAAAUUAUUUUGACCCACGUUUUCAAAGGCCCAUUAGUAAGAUCACUAAUAUAAAUUAUUUUGACCCACAUUUUCAAAGGCCCAUUAGUUAGAUCACUGGUAUAAAUUAUUUUUUGUAACAAUUUAGUUUAACUUUUUUUAUUUUAAUCUAAAUCUAAAAACUUGGGUUCUUCCCCUAACCAUUGGUCUUCUCCUCUCCGAUGGAGUGCUCCGUCAUAGCCUUCCAUACACACUGUUCCUCGGGUGUCAAGCUUUAUACUUUAUAGAUGUACAACUAAUUGCAUUUUCAAUAUUAAUUUAUAACUAGUUGUAUGUUCAGUAUUAAAUAAUAUAUAACUAGUUGAACACACAUUUAGCUAGUCGGUCGGAGUUUUUCUCCUCAACUCAUAUCCUGAAAUUAAAUGUCUCUUAUAAAGAUACGUAGAAUCAACAUGAGAUAUAUAGAUUAGAAAUUAAAAUAUAAAAUAUAAAUAAUGUAAGUGGUGAUUCAGUAUCUCAAAUUUGGUCAUAACGUAUCAGCAAAUAGAGAUUCGGAUAUCCUAAGAUGAAUUGAGGUACUCAUAUAGGUUUGAAAAGGUUCCAAAUCAACUCAUGAGAAUGUCGACUUUUACAAAGUCGACUUCACCCAGGUCGACUUUCUCAUAAGUCGAACUGGAUAAAGUCGACCUCUGAGAAAGUUGAUCCCAAAAAGUCGAAUUGAAACCAGAUCUGAGCGGUUACGAUCCAAAUGACCAGAUUGCCCCCAUAAAAAGUCUUAUAAAUAGGGGGCAUCCCUCAUUCAUUUGGGUAUGUCAUUCGGAGUGAGUGAAGUUCCAGCGAAUCAGAGCCAAAACAACUUAGGAGUUCAGUCGAAUUUUCCCGCGGAGUUCCCCGUCUGACGUUUGUUCGAAACGUCGUCAAACACUGAUCGGAUUACACCCUCAUCAGUAAGCUUUAAGAUUAAGGGGCAAAUGCCCAUCUAUGAUCAAAGUUCACUAUUCUUAUUUUUGUUCAAUUGUUUUAGGGGAUUUUAUUUAUUUUUCCUUGUAAUUCUUAUUUUAUCGUUAGUUUACAGUGUAUUUAUUUUAGUUUAUUGUGUAAGAGAAAAUUUCAGAAGAGUCGCAACUUUUUUUUAAAAUGUUCGCCCAAUCGAUCUCAGCCGUUCAUUUUGAAAUCGACGAUAAGAUGAAUUUUUUUUAUAAAUUAUGAUGACCCGUACGUAAUGAUUUUAAGCAUUUCACUCAUUACCAAUUUUCAAUUAUUUUUUCAUAUUUUCGAAAUUAAAAUCGAUCAAAAAUAUUAAAAUGAAAAGUUUUUGGAAAUUAAAUUAAUUAUGAUAUAUUGAUAUCUGGAUCGAUAGAUUUUAAUUAAUUUGUUGUAAUAUUUUUAUUUGUGUUUAUUUAUUUAAUAUUAAUUUGUGCUUUUUUGACCUAAAAAAUAUCUAAUUUUUGCUUACAAAAAAGACCUAAUUUCAAUUUUGUUUUUUAAUUUUUUGCACAUCGAUGGAUUUUUUGUUACUUGAACCUUUGAAUCUUCAAAAACAUUAAUAGUUAAUCUGAUCAGUUAAACUAAUCUUCUUUUAUGACCAGUUGAGUUUUUUUUUUUUAAAUUUGAAACCAGUUGAUAAUUUAUUAAUUUCAAAACGUGAAAAAAUCGUAGACAUGGCUGUUGGCCAUUAGCUUUUUUUGUACAUUAUGGUACUUGAAAAUUGUAUUAGGGUUUGAAAUUUAAUUAUAAAGGGUUGAUCAGGCGGUGGAGCAAUUUAGUGCAGGCUUGACGACACCGAUGAUAGUAGGCUUGACGACGUUCUCACAAGUUGAAUUGGACACUGCUCCUCCGACCUUGUUUUUAAGUUGAAUUUUUUCGAACGAGAGACCUGUGCAUGGAUUUGACUUACUACACAAGAGUGUAAUGGCAACCGGUGUCGCCGACGUUCCUCUGAUGUUGCUGAACUUGACGUCCGAUAUCUUGACGUUUGAAGACACGGAUUUUGGGCAAUUUCCGGCAGGGCAGUACUGUUGAUUAAUGAUGAUAGGAUUCUCAAC